rnacentral:tRNA from 1 species
GCCUGAUUGGCACAGUGGUACUGCGUCGCACUCGUAAUGCGAAGAUCACUGGUUCGAUUCCAGUAUCAGGCA